rnacentral:lncRNA from 1 species
UACACUUACUUCAUUUAUAUAACUAACUCCUACACAUUAAAAUUAACUACAAAGCACAGAGCUAUGAUUAUAACUUCACACCUCCACUUGCAAGGCACAGAAUACAAAUAAGGAAAAAGUUUAUAUAGAGCCGAGGCUCUAAACAAUCAAAUUAGAGUCCACUUCAAAAAUUUCACUAGAAGACGUUGAUUUGAUGCCCAAAUAUCCUCAGAUUGGUCCAUCUCGAUAUCAAGAUGCAUGGACAUGUGAAAAAAUUGGAUUUCAAGUUUUGGGAAUCGUGCAUCUUGUAACGCAUUUAUGGACCGUCAAUUUUUGAGAUUUUCCGGUUUUCAUAGAUACGCUUGAUCUACACUAUUUUUGAAGCUUUAAAUUUUAUAUUUUAAGGUUGUCACAAAGAUUUCCAAUAUUGAAACCACAUUUCUCAACACUAUUUAGAAGUGCGCUUUACUUUGAUCGUUUAGAG